CAGUCGCCGCGGUAACACGUAGGGUGCAAGCGUUAAUCGGAAUUACUGGGCGUAAAGCGUGCGCAGGCGGUUAGGUAAGCCAGAUGUGAAAUCCCCGAGCUCAACUUGGGAACUGCGUUUGGAACUGUUUAACUAGAGUGCGUCAGAGGGGGGUGGAAUUCCGCGUGUAGCAGUGAAAUGCGUAGAGAUGCGGAGGAACACCGAUGGCGAAGGCAGCCCCCUGGGAUGACACUGACGCUCAUGCACGAAAGCGUGGGGAGCAAACAGGAUUAGAUACCCGAGUAGUCCCUGUCUCUUAUAC
rnacentral:rRNA from 1 species